UACGUAGGUGGCAAGCGUUAUCCGGAAUUAUUGGGCGUAAAGCGCGCGCAGGUGGUUUCUUAAGUCUGAUGUGAAAGCCCACGGCUCAACCGUGGAGGGUCAUUGGAAACUGGGAGACUUGAGUGCAGAAGAGGAAAGUGGAAUUCCAUGUGUAGCGGUGAAAUGCGUAGAGAUAUGGAGGAACACCAGUGGCGAAGGCGACUUUCUGGUCUGUAACUGACACUGAGGCGCGCAAGCGUGGGGAGCAAACAGG
rnacentral:rRNA from 1 species